GGGUCCCUCCCUGUCUCAUCUUAUGCAGGCCCUGGUCGGGGAGCCUGGGGCUCUGCCCUAUGUAAGGGGUGGGCUGCAGGAGAGGCUCAUGGAUGGAGGAAAGGGGCACAAGGAAUAUUCUGGAGGCCCAAGACAUCAACUCCCGAAUCUGGAGGCAACAGGUCUGGCAAGGCAGGGACUCGAAAGUGUCCAUUAGAGCAAUUAGGAGAUCACGAGUGCCCUUAGCGGAGCUGGUUUCAAGCAGAGGCUGGGAUUCUUUGAACCCAUAAUAGAAAGUCAGUGUGUUUACUCAUUGGUUGUAUCCUAGCAACAGCGUGUUCUCAACCGGGCUAAGUGUUCUAGAAAGCAAGACCAAAUUAUACAAGAACACAGCGUUCUAGAAUGUCUGCAUGGGCUUGUCAGCCAAUUUCCUCCUUAGAGGGACGCAGGAGAUGGGUAAAAACUACCCUCCUUCCCUCCGAAUUUCCAGGUAGUCCGCGACCGGCAUUUAGUACACGAAUAGUACACGGUCCCGUGGUUGAGUGCAGGACAGAACCUAGUACACAGAUUCCUUGGAGGAAAUGCAAUGAACCGAAGAGAAACCAGCGUGAGGGGCACCUAACCCAGCACCGAGCAAUCUGCAGAGACUUCCUGGAGGAGGCAACACCUGAGCGGGGUCUCAUCAACGCGAGGAAGAGUCAGCCUGGUGGAACGUGUGGAAGGAUGCUUUGAGCUUUGAGGCAGCCUCUGUGAAACCCGCAGGCGUGGGCUUGCCUGGCAAUGCUGGGGCCCAGAGACCUUUCGGUUUGCUUGUUUUACGGAAAUAAAACAAGGCAGAUGAAACUGAAGACUUUUCUACUUCAUCUCUCCUUGGAGGAAGCCGCCGUUGUGAGUUUGAGAGGCCGCCAUGGACGAUUUCCUGAUUUGUAGGGUCUGCUUCCUUGAGCAAUGUGCAAUAUCAUGGAGUGUGUCUAGAAAUUUUACGUGUAAUUCGUUGACCGUGUUUGCAACUUGCUUUUCCCUCAAACCUUCCAUAUCUUUGAGGUCUGUGGAUGCAGUUGCAUAUAGGAGCAGUUGGUUUAUUUUACCUGCUGUCAACGUGUUAGCUGAUGUUUCUCUAUUUUUGGUCCUAGGAAUCUCUGUCCUGAUUUCAUAACCGAGUACAUGCCCAUUAGCUUUCCCUCAGGCAUUAUCUUUCUACUUUACCUGUGUUUUUCUUUGCUCCGAUUUCAAAGAAAAAUAGAUUUUCAACAUUAGAACAGUUCUAAGCUCAUAGCAAAGUUGAGGGGAUGGUACAGAGAUUUUUCAGACACACCCCCGUGCCCACACGUGCACACCCUCCCCCUUAUCAACACCCCCCCGACCAGAGGGGACAUUUGACACAAUCGAGGAAUCUGUGUUGACAUACCGUCCUCAUCCAAUGU